rnacentral:rRNA from 1 species
AUACGGGGGGUGCAAGCGUUAUUCGGAUUUAUUGGGCGUAAAGAGCGCGUAGGCGGCUUGGUAAGUCAGAUGUGAAAGCCCGGGGCUCAACCCCGGAAGUGCAUUUGAAACUAUCAGGCUUGAGUAUGGGAGAGGGAAGUGGAAUUCCUGGUGUAGAGGUGAAAUUCGUAGAUAUCAGGAGGAACACCGGUGGCGAAGGCGACUUCCUGGACCAAUACUGACGCAGAGGCGCGAAGGCGUGGGGAGCAAACUGGAUUAGAAACCCCAGUAGUCC